GCCCUACGAGUAUAUACAGUAUUUCUGGCUUCCAACCAGGGGGUCCUUGUUUAAGUCGGGGGUAGGGUA
rnacentral:tRNA from 1 species